AACUGAAGGAAAUAGAACCGCGUGAACUUAAGGAAAUUGAAACAACCCCCCUUCUUUCUUUCCCCAAUUCAUAACCCUAGCCCCCAUUGUCGCCGCCGUCCGAAGCUUGUUGGCGCCGCCGCCGUUCCAAGCUCUAAGGACAUCGUCUUUAUCUUCCUUGGCUUCUCCGUUCGUCGAAGGUUAGUGGCGUGGCGUCCGCUCUUGGGGUACUGCGCUCGUUAAGAUCUCUCCUUACACCUUUUCCGUCGUCGCCAUCGGCGUCUCCAUCGGUGUCUCAGUUCUCAUUGCUGCUUGAGGGAUUUACGUGCUGCAAUCAAGGCUCCCCGAAUCACUUCCACGAAUCUCAUUAGGUCUUAUUUUUCUAUCCUCCAUAAAAAAGUGGCCGCUUAAAUGCCUGGAUCUUCUCUCUUUUUGCUUCCCUGGAAUAUUGGAGGAUAAUUUUUUCGUACUGGUAAAGACAACAGAAGUUGCUGCGGCACCGUUUAUAACAACUUCAUAUGGCAUCUCAAAAUGAAGGAACUAAGCACAGGAGGAUAUGAUGUGAAGAAAAUAUGUUCAAUACAAAUAUAAGAUGGGAUGGGUCUUAUAAUGAUUUUGGUUAUCUAAAUGUAUUAUUUUGAUGUCUUCUUUACAUUUUGAUAAGAGAUUUUAUUCGAUAAUACAUGUAAUGGAUAAAUUACACUCUCUUUUGAUUAGUGUUGUAAUGGAUAUCUACUUUUUAAUGAAACUUUUAUGAUUUACAUUUA